AUUGAACACUGGCGGCAUGCUUUACACAUGCAAGUCGAACGGUAACAGGCCGCAAGGUGCUGACGAGUGGCGAACGGGUGAGUAAUGCAUCGGAACGUGCCCAGUCGUGGGGGAUAACGCAGCGAAAGCUGCGCUAAUACCGCAUACGAUCUAUGGAUGAAAGCGGGGGACCAUAAGGCCUCGCGCGAUUGGAGCGGCCGAUGUCAGAUUAGGUAGUUGGUGGGGUAAAGGCUCACCAAGCCAACGGUCUGUAGCUGGUCUGAGAGGACGACCAGCGACACUGGGACUGAGGCACGGCCCAGAGUCUUACGGGAGGCAGCAGUGGGGAAUUUUGGACAAUGGGCGCAAGCCUGAUCCAGCAAUGCCGCGUGCAGGAAGAAGGCCUUCGGGUUGUAUACUGCUUUUGUACGGAACGAAAAGGCUCUGGUUAAUACCUGGGGCUCAUGACGGUACCGUAAGAAUAAGCACCGGCUAACUACGUGCCAGCCGCCGCAGUAAUAC
rnacentral:rRNA from 1 species